rnacentral:pre_miRNA from 1 species
UUUUUACUUUUUCCGUUCCGAAUUACUUGUCGUAAAAAUGGAUGUAUCUAUAUGUAUUUUAGUUCUAGAUACAUUCAUUUAUGUGACGAGUAAUUUGGAACGAAGGGAGUAUAUU